rnacentral:tRNA from 1 species
GGGGCUAUAGCUCAGUUGGGAGAGCGCCUGGAUCGCACCCAGGAGGUCGCCGGUUCGAGCCCGGCUAGCUCCACAA